GCACUGCUGAGGAGUCCCACACAAGGACGAAACGGCUGUCCAGUGC
rfam:Schistosoma curassoni strain Dakar, Senegal genome assembly, scaffold: SCTD_scaffold0010219